rnacentral:tRNA from 1 species
AGCAGGCACUGUGAUAGAGCAUUUGCUUGGCAUGCAGACGACCCCAGGUUCGAUCCCUGGCAGUGUCA